UACGGAAGGCAGCAGUGGGGAAUAUUGCACAAUGGGCGCAAGCCUGAUGCAGCCAUGCCGCGUGUAUGAAGAAGGCCUUCGGGUUGUAAAGUACUUUCAGCGGGGAGGAAGGCGAUGCGGUUAAUAACCGCGUCGAUUGACGUUACCCGCAGAAGAAGCACCGGCUAACUCCGUGCCAGCAGCCGCGGUAAUACGGAGGGUGCAAGCGUUAAUCGGAAUUACUGGGCGUAAAGCGCACGCAGGCGGUCUGUUAAGUCAGAUGUGAAAUCCCCGGGCUUAACCUGGGAACUGCAUUUUGAAACUGGCAGGCUUGAGUCUUGUAGAGGGGGUAGAAUUCCAGGUGUAGCGGUGAAAUGCGUAGAGAUCUGGAGGAAUACCGGUGGCGAAGGCGGCCCCUGGGACAAAGCUGACGCUCAGGUGCGAAAGCGUGGGGAGCGAAACAGGGAUUAGGAUACC
rnacentral:rRNA from 1 species